ensembl:lncRNA
CGCCCUGCCCGGCCGCGGGGUGCGGCUCCUCCGCGUUGGAGACGGUUCGGGCAGGGCCGGCCUUAGCCUGUGUGAAACUCAAGGCUCUUCUUCAGCCUGGCGCCCGGGGCGGGGUUUGGGCUGUGGCUGCGGGUUUUCCUGGAGAUGGACCUCAGCGCUCGGGGCUGCUCGGCAUCCGGCCCCGCAGGGGCUCUCAGCAGGGAACAAAGUUCAUCAUCCUGAGACACCAGACCUUUGACGAAGCGCAGGUUACCUGUGACAGUGCGUGCGGCGCUAACAAAGAGUCCCUGUCAGCCUUUGUAGAAGACUUUGAGGCUUCAGUCAGCGUUGACUUUCCAGAAGAUGAGGAGCGUGUUGGUGAAGUGCUAGACUGUGGUUCCUCGGAUCCCUCAGUUCGUGGGGGAACAGAAGAAGCUCAGUGUGGAGAUGAAAAGAUGACAGAAGCAGCAGAAUCCCAGAAGUUGCGAUCACACAGGCAGAUGAGGUACUUGCCUAUGGGCAGACUGAGGGUGGAGGAUUUUCGUUCAUACAGCAGAACCUCUGCAUGACUUGUAAGGAGGCCUUUCCUGGUCUUUUUUCUAUGUUCUGCUGAAUCCUGAUCAACCCGAAUGCUGCCUGUUGGCACUGGGAUAGGGAGAGCCACCCAUGCAGACCCAGAUGCUGUAGCCUCACUUUUCUAAGACGGCACUCGACUGGGCAGUGAAGCACGGCAAUCUUGAGAUGGCAGAGAUGGUCGCCAAAGCAGGCGUCGAUGUCAAUGCUAAAUCGGUAAGUGAUGACAGAUGUUUCAUUGGUUUCUUCUGUGUUGGUCUCUCUGGGCGGUAUUUAUGCAUGCACAACUUACAGUGCCACUGCUCUGCUCUAUAUAUGUGCCUGAAGCUUUGUAGGAAUGGCAUUCUUAAAAUGAAUGAGUGAUUCUCUUUCUGGGUAAGUUGUUCAUAGAUGAGAAAUGAUCACACAUAGCAUUUAACCCCUUUCAAGUAAUCAUAAAAAAAGCUGCCAAACCAACUAUUUGUUCAUAUAAACAAUAGCUAACCUUAUAAGCUUUAAAUUAGCAACACUUAGGUGCAUUCUCCAGGGGCCCUACACUGCUUCUGGAUGCACUAUUAUUGUAGUCCGCUCUUUAACCUUUAUUGUGCCCUGACAUCUCUUUGGAAAUAAGAUUUCACAGGUACUUGAGUAGGUGAAUUCCAGAGAUAAGAAAUUCCUGAAUUAACUUGUUUGUACACCUUAAGCAGAUAAGUAUCUUGAUAUUCCUUCUGCUCUGUAUGCAUUGAGUGGGAGUAUAAAAAUAUUUGAAGUGACUAUUUUCUGAGCUGUAGUUUCCUGCUGUUUGCUAGUUAAGUAUCACCGUGUUACAGAAAAACCUUGCUGGUCUUUAAGGAGAGGAAAAAUCCUAAAACAAAUGUGCUGCGCUCUUGAAAAUAUGUUUACAUUUUGAAAUAUCAUUUACAAGGCUGAAAAAUCCUGAA